rnacentral:telomerase_RNA from 1 species
AAUUAUAAUUACUGGGUUAAAUCGGGUUACCGAAGUGCAUUUGCACGUAACUUGAUUGUUAAAACUAACGAAACUAACUAAAAAUAUUGGUGUUUCUUAUCCGUUGUUUCACCGUCCCAAAAAUGUAACGGAUUGCUCCCAGAGUUUUUUUUU